GCGCCCCUAGCUCAGCUGGAUAGAGCUUCGGACUUCGGAUCCGACGGUCGUAGGUUCGAAUCCUACGGGGCGCGCCA
rnacentral:tRNA from 1 species